ACUAAUUCAAGCUUUUACAGACUGACACGUGUCCGGUUGCUUGAAACGCAGCACUUCAUUAACUCUGUAAUCUUUGGGCUUUUGUCAUCCUUCUGUAUAUUUGAAGGUUUUUGGAUUGCCAAUAUAGAUUUUUUUUUUCUGGAAGCCCAGUAACUUAUUGUCGUCGUAUUCUUCUCUUUUACAGAAUAGUUAGGGUUGCCGCCGUUGCUUCAAUCCGACAAUGGAGCAUCUUCUUUGGUGGUGUUUGUCUUCUGCAUAGAUUCGCUUGCAAUUCUUCCCAUCCUCUUCUGAGAACACGAACUGUUACAUAACUCGGCUGCAUACAUUCAUUAUCAUUAAAGUUACAAUUAACUCCAUCUACCCCAUUCAUUCCACAAUUUGACAAUCAAUACGUCCCCCUACCUUCCAGUCGGUGAAUCUACAGAUAAAUUAUAGCAGGGGGAUUAACUGCGGGGACCAACCAAGAUCCUUUUUGUAUCUCUUAUGCCAAUGCUUCCAAGACGGGUUCAUUCAUCAUGUACCAAUCGGUAAAACUAAGUUAGAUUCUUUUUUUUUUCUUUUUUCCAUCGUAAUUCAGUUCUUCUUCAUGAUUUUAACACCAUCGUAAGUUACUUACUGUAUCAUCUUUAGAUCUCAACAUUAGUAGAGAACUUCCACAAAACAAUAUAUAUGAUGAGGCAUCAGAUGUGUUUAUUGAAUUUAAGCUACUUGCUUCAGAUUCUACGUUGAGAUCCGUACGGAGCUUAGACAAAUACGGUGAAGGAAUGGAAUCGAUGAGCUGGGAUCCUGAGGCUUAGCGCAGGGGUCUUUCUGAUGAUCAGGGACUGAUGAGUCUCUAUGGGAGGAUCUCAGCAUUUUAAGGCUUUUAAAGUGUCAGUGAUUCACACUCAACUCACUUUCUCAAGAACAAUUAAUCUCGAGGAAGCUGCUCAUUUCUGUAAAGCAUGAAAUGUUAAACGUGGUGAGAGUAUAGUAUUUUCUGGGGAUUUGCCGUGGAGUCUGCUGUGGUCGUGUUACUGACGUUGUAACUCUGAAUCAGCCUACAAGCAAGAAACUUGGCAUGAAUACAUUCUUUCUAUAGUUUUCUGACUUUUACGUAUCUACCUUUCAACAUUUUUUCAAUUGUUAUGUUUUCCAAUUGGGUUAAGAGCGUAAGAAUCAUAAUAUUACGACUGGGUUGAUAACUCUUCUAUUUUCUUCUAUUAUAUGUUUAAAUUGCAUGAUUCAGUGAGAAAUUAUGAUUUUUGGUUUUGAUUCAUAAAUGGAAGAUUAGUAUUUUG